rnacentral:rRNA from 1 species
GAUGAACGCUGGCGGCGUGCCUAACACAUGCAAGUCGAGCGAGAAACCAUCGAAUGAAACUUCGGUAGAUAUUGAAGGCGGAAAGCGGCGGACGGGUGAGUAACGCGUAGGCAACCUGCCCUUUGCAGAGGGAUAGCAACGGGAAACUGUUAUUAAAACCUCAUAAUACCGACAUGUCAAAUGACAAGACGGUCAAAGAUUUACCGGCAAAGGAUGGGCCUGCGUCUGAUUAGUUAGUUGGUAGGGUAACGGCCUACCAAGGCAGCGAUCAGUAGCCGACCUGAGAGGGUGAUCGGCCACAUUGGAACUGAGACACGGUCCGAACUCCUACGGGAGGCAGCAGUGGGGAAUAUUGCACAAUGGGCGAAAGCCUGAUGCAGCAACGCCGCGUGAAGGAUGAAGGCCUUUGGGUCGUAAACUUCUGUCCUUGGGGAAGAAAAAAAUGACGGUACCCCUGGAGGAAGUCCCGGCUAACUACGUGCCAGCCGCCGCAGUAAGAC